GAUGAACGCUAGCUACAGGCUUAACACAUGCAAGUCGAGCGACCGGCGCACGGGUGAGUAACACGUAUCCAACCUUCCCUUUACUCGGGGAUAGCCUUUCGAAAGAAAUAUUAAUACACGAUAUAAAGGAUGGGGAUGCGUUCCAUUAGGUUGUUGGGGAGGGAACGGCCCACCAAGCCUUCGAUGGCGGGGGGAUCGGAGAGGAAGGUCCACCAGAUUGGAACUGAGACCCAGUCCAAACUGGUAGGGGAGGCAGCAGUGAGGAAUACUAGGGACUGGGCGUUAGUCUGGACCAGCCAAGUAGCGUGAAGGAUGAAGGCUUUUGGAGCGUAAACUUCGUGGAUAUAAGAAUCGGUAUUAGAUGAAGAAGGAUCGGCUAACUCCGUGCCAGCAGCCGCGGUAAUAC
rnacentral:rRNA from 1 species